rnacentral:rRNA from 1 species
CCGGAUUUAUUGGGUUUAAAGGGUGCGUAGGCGGUUUGAUAAGUUAGAGGUGAAAUUUCGGGGCUCAACCCUGAACGUGCCUCUAAUACUGUUGAGCUAGAGAGUAGUUGCGGUAGGCGGAAUGUAUGGUGUAGCGGUGAAAUGCUUAGAGAUCAUACAGAACACCGAUUGCGAAGGCAGCUUACCAAACUAUAUCUGACGUUGAGGCACGAAAGCGUGGGGAGCAAACAGGAUUAGAUACCCUGGUAGUCCACGCAGUAAACGAUGAUAACUCGUUGUCGGCGAUACACAGUCGGUGACUAAGCGAAAGCGAUAAGUUAUCCACCUGGGGAGUACGUUCGCAAGAAUGAAACUCAAAGGAAUUGACGGGGGCCCGCACAAGCGGAGGAACAUGUGGUUUAAUUCGAUGAUACGCGAGGAACCUUACCCGGGCUUGAAAGUUAGCGACGAUUCUUGAAAGAGGAUUUCCCUUCGGGGCGCGAAACUAGGUGCUGCAUGGUUGUCGUCAGCUCGUGCCGUGAGGUGUCGGGUUAAGUCCCAUAACGAGCGCAACCCCUACCGUUAGUUGCCAUCAGGUGAAGCUGGGCACUCUGGCGGGACUGCCGGUGAUAAGCCGGAGGAAGGUGGGGAUGACGUCAAAUCAGCACGGCCCUUACGUCCGGGGCUACACACGUGUUACAAUGGUAGGUACAGAGGGCAGCUACCCAGCGAUGGGAUGCGAAUCUCGAAAGCCUAUCUCAGUUCGGAUUGGAGGCUGAAACCCGCCUCCAUGAAGCUGGAUUCGCUAGUAAUCGCGCAUCAGCCAUGGCGC